rnacentral:rRNA from 1 species
AACGAACGCUGGCGGCAUGCUUAACACAUGCAAGUCGAACGAGACCUUCGGGUCUAGUGGCGCACGGGUGCGUAACGCGUGGGAAUCUGCCCUUUGCUACGGAAUAACUCAGAGAAAUUUGUGCUAAUACCGUAUAAUGUCGAAAGACCAAAGAUUUAUCGGCAAAGGAUGAGCCCGCGUAGGAUUAGCUAGUUGGUGAGGUAAAGGCUCACCAAGGCGACGAUCCUUAGCUGGUCUGAGAGGAGGAUCAGCCACACUGGGACUGAGAAACGGCCCCAGCUCCUACGGGAGGCAGCAGUGGGGAAUAUUGGACAAUGGGCGAAAGCCUGAUCCAGCAAUGCCGCGUGAGUGAUGAAGGCCUUAGGGUUGUAAAGCUCUUUUACCAGGGAUGAUAAUGACAGUACCUGGAGAAUAAGCUCCGGCUAACUCCGUGCCAGCCGCCGCGGUAAAAC